rnacentral:rRNA from 1 species
CGCGUAGGCGGUGAACACAGUUAGGCGUGAAAUUACCCGGGCUCAACCUGGGGGCUGCGUUUAAUACAUGUUCGCUUGAGUUCGGAAGAGGGUCGUGGAAUUCCCAGUGUAGAGGUGAAAUUCGUAGAUAUUGGGAAGAACACCGGUGGCGAAGGCGGCGACCUGGUCCGAUACUGACGCUGAGGCGCGAAAGCGUGGGGAGCAAACA